rnacentral:rRNA from 1 species
UACGUAGGGCGCAAGCGUUGUCCGGAAUUAUUGGGCGUAAAGAGCUCGUAGGCGGUCUGUUGCGUCGGCUGUGAAAACCCGAGGCUCAACCUCGGGCCUGCAGCCGAUACGGGCAGACUAGAGUUUGGCAGGGGAGACUGGAAUUCCUGGUGUAGCGGUGAAAUGCGCAGAUAUCAGGAGGAACACCGGUGGCGAAGGCGGGUCUCUGGGCCGAUACUGACGCUGAG